rnacentral:lncRNA from 1 species
UACUGUUGUGGAAUGUAUGUUGCCCAUGAACAUCCAUAUAGGGCCCUGGUCAAAUGAAGUGCUCUACAUAGUUAAUAGUGUGCCAUUUGGGAUGAAGCCCUAUGCACAUUACGAUGUCAUCCGCUACAUUUGUUCAUUUUAAAUGACUGCACAGGGAGUCCUACGAAUGACCUUGACAAAAUGGCAAAUCAUCCUACACUUUAUCCCACUAGCUACCUCUCACACUGCACCUCUCUUAAAACAUUAGUCAGCCACGCUGUGCAUUGUUAUGACUGAAAGUGGGACUGUGAUUACAUUAGCAGCCCACUCUUCCUGUUUUGUUUGGAUUUCCCAGGUUGCAGUUUUCUUUAUGGGAGGCGCCAUCUGGCGGCGGUAACGCCACACUGCACUCUGGAGGAAGGCUUUGUAAAAUAGAGCACCACCCAGCCCCAGUGAGCAUCACCUAUGCAGUACGACAGACAGACAGACAGACAGACAGACAGACAGAUAGGACAUCCCUCCCCCCACCCAAACCUGAUGAUGAUGAGUCAUGAUGAGACGUCAUGACGGACAGACGCAUCGGCCAAUGGGGACAGCUGGGGAUCCUGUGAGGCUCCACCGAUAGCAGCAAUACAGACACUAGACAGCAGGUCCCUCAGAGCAACCCCCGUAACCCCUGGCAACGGCACUGCUUUAUCUCAGCCACCCCUGAUAACCAGACAGAGAGACAGAGAGAAAGAGAGAGAGACUGCAUUGUCUGUCUGACAGACAGUCUCCUUCACGGACAGACGGACUGCGGUGUUUUGAGAGAGUCUUUCACAGCCCUGUCUGUCUGUGUCUAGAGUCUAGACACCUGGCAGCCAUGGUUACUUAGAGACCCCCCCUCCAGAGAGAGAGGGGGAGAGACAGGGGGAGAGAGAGGGGGAGAGACAGGGGGAGAGAGAGGGAGCUGUUUUAAAUUCACGCUGCACUGUUCUGCCUCUGGAACGGUCACUAUCAUUUUUGGACACCUGGUGGAUUGCGAUUGGCCAGAAUAGGCCCCCUCCGGCUAUGCUGUCCGAGUUCCAGGUCGCGGUGUGUGUGUGACAUCGACUGUGUGUGCGUGUGCUUGUACAAGGAAGGGAAUGAGCGUGUUCCAAUUCAAGAUGUCAUGCGUCAGAAGAAGCUGCCCUCCCCUGGAUGUAUCUCAAUGUGCGCUUAAGUGUUAUAAAAAUGUACAUGUUUUAACAGAUUCUAAAUAUGAUUCUGAUAAUGACAGAAAGAAAAAAUGACGGUAUUUUAAUAUAACGCUCUUCUUCCGGUAUGUAUUUUGAUGUGCAUAUUACGGCUAUACGACACCAUUGAGUCAGCGUUGGUAUCUGUCCCGCUUUGUGUUCAAUUAAACAUUUUUAUAAAAAUAAAGGUUUCAGUAUUCACACUAGCGUACUACUUAGAAUGCAUGCCUUAUACAUUGCUUCAUUCUAAGUGGGUAGUGUGCUAAUUUGGAUAUUGGGGGGGGGGAGUAAAAACUCUGGGGGUCACCGAGUCGAAGUUCAGCCGUGUGCUCAUACAACAUGAUGUACAGUAGACGCCACAUCAUCACCAUAAAGGUUAAAGGUCAGGGCUUAGGGCCCGGCCGGCAUCAUCUCACACGUCAUCUCAUCUCAUCUCACCACAGUUCUUCAUCAAUAUCUCUGUCCAUCAUCUCCAUCACCAAAGGCUGCUGUCUCCAUAAAAAUGAACAAGAGAUUCUUAGUCCUAUACGACUUAAGUUCUCAACACCAUAGAGCUGAAUCAACCGUACAGAAACUCAAAUAUGUCAUAAUAUGGACACCGUACAGUAACACAGUCCUCCCCAUUAAAUGGGGAACCGUGACUGUUGUACGGUGUCCAUAUUCGGACUGUUUCAGUUUUAUGACUCCACAUCAAGUGUGUCUCUCUCAUUCCUUUCUCUGUAUGUGGCACUCACAGUAGCGUAGCCUGUUCCCCUUACUGCAGCAUUCUCACACACACAGACAGCCUCUUUAGGGUAUAGUGUACAGUACUUCAGUACUACUUUAGGGUGUAGUGUACAGUACUUCAGUACUACUUUAGGGUGUAGUGUACAGUACUUCAGUACUACUUUAGGAUGUAGUGUACAGUACUUUAGUACUUCAUAUCAGUGGACACAUACAGUAUUAGGGCGUACAGUACAGACAAGAGCAAAGCAUCACACCACAAACCUCUUCUUCUGAUUCUUCAUUAUGAUGCUCUCAUUAUUUAAUGGUGUAUAUAAGUAUUUGACGCUGUUUAAAUGUAAGAUGUGAUGUACUAAUAUAAUUGUGUAUAGUAUUUCCUAGAGAUGUUUAUUUUCUAUAAAAUGAAUAUGUUAUUGCUUAUAAAAAUGUUAUUAAAAGAAUCCAUUAAAAAAAUAGACUUUUGGGAAUGUCACUCGUUCUAAGUUGAGCAUGCAGUUUUUUUUAUUGUUCAUGUUUUCAUUGUUUGAAUCGAUGACACUACAGCAUCAAUUUGUGUGAAAUGUUUUUGUAACGCCAAUGUCAAAUAUACCAGC